UGGGGAAUAUUGCACAAUGGGCGCAAGCCUGAUGCAGCCAUGCCGCGUGUAUGAAGAAGGCCUUCGGGUUGUAAAGUACUUUCAGCGGGGAGGAAGGCGAUAAGGUUAAUAACCUUGUCGAUUGACGUUACCCGCAGAAGAAGCACCGGCUAACUCCGUGCCAGCAGCCGCGGUAAUACGGAGGGUGCAAGCGUUAAUCGGAAUUACUGGGCGUAAAGCGCACGCAGGCGGUCAGUCAAGUCGGAUGUGAAAUCCCCGGGCUCAACCUGGGAACUGCAUUCGAAACUGGCAGGCUAGAGUCUUGUAGAGGGGGGUAGAAUUCCAAGUGUAGCGGUGAAAUGCGUAGAGAUCUGGAGGAAUACCGGUGGCGAAGGCGGCCCCCUGGACAAAGACUGACGCUCAGGUGCGAAAGCGUGGGGAGCAAACA
rnacentral:rRNA from 1 species